UCUAGUUUUUUGGUUGUUUGUUUAUAUUCUCUAGGAAUCCUCGGAUCUUGUUUUUAAGCCCUUCGGUGACGAUGUUUUUGUAUUUUUGCAAGCUUUCUUUGCAUUGAAAAGGAGAGGCAUAUAUAUGUGCUAGCUAUGAUGAAGGUUUUUACAAUUCAUUUCUGAAUUUUGAGCAUUUAAUAGGAUAUUUUUAACAAUUUCAUAAAACUUCUGUCGCAAAAGUGGCAGUUUUUUUUUUAAGUAUGGUUACAAAAUCUAUUUGAUUUUUUUCUUGUGUGAAAUUACAGAAAUGUAGCCCAUUUAUGUAGAAUUAAUAAUGCCCAGGAAGCAUUGUGAGGGAAACUAUUCAAAUGGAUGGUGGCUCUCAAUGCUACAUUCUCUAGCUAAGGCCUAAGGCCUGAGGCCCCCCCAUGAGCAAUUACAACAGGAUUGGUCAUCAAAAAUGGGAAUUUCAAUGUAGGGUUGAACCUGACAAAAGCUAAGAUGGACAGGAUCCUUCCUGCAGAACAGAUCAAAUCAUGUCUCUAGACAAAGUUGGCAUGUGGGUUGUUUCUUAUUGGAGAAAGUGGAACUUACAAAAGCUUAACUAGUCUUGACGAUGAACUUCUUGGCUCAGAGAAUUUCUUACUGACAACGUAUAUGUCAAGGAUCUUCCCAUGCUCAAAUCAAGGUGAGGACCCCCACAAGCACUUGAAGGAAUUCCAUGUGGUUUGCUCAACCAUGAAGCCGCAAGGAGUAAUAGAGAAAGAAAUUAAACUAAGGGCUUUCUUAUUCUCUUUGGCAGACAAGGCGAAUGAUUGACUUUAUUACCUUCAAUCUGGAUCUAUUACCACAUGGAAUGAUCUAAAAAGGAAAUUUUUGGAAAAGUUCUUUCUAACUUCAAGGGCAGGUACCCUCAGAAAAGAAAUCAUUGGAAUUCGCCAAAAUAAUGGUAAGACAUUGUACGAAUAUUGGGGAUUGUUAAUCAAUUAUAAGUGAGCUGCCCUCA